CGGGGAAUAUUGCACAAUGGGCGAAAGCCUGAUGCAGCAACGCCGCGUGAGUGAUGAAGGUCUUCGGAUUGUAAAGCUCUGUCUUUUGGGACGAUAAUGACGGUACCAAAGGAGGAAGCCACGGCUAACUACGUACCAGCAGCCGCGGUAAUACGUAGGUGGCGAGCGUUGUCCGGAUUUACUGGGCGUAAAGGGUGCGUAGGCGGAUGUUUAAGUGAGAUGUGAAAUACCCGGGCUUAACUUGGGUGCUGCAUUUCAAACUGGAUAUCUAGAGUGCAGGAGAGGAGAAUGGAAUUCCUAGUGUAGCGGUGAAAUGCGUAGAGAUUAGGAAGAACACCAGUGGCGAAGGCGAUUCUCUGGACUGUAACUGACGCUGAGGCACGAAAGCGUGGGUAGCAAACAGGAUUAGAUACCCUGGUAGUCCACGCCGUAAACGAUGAGUACUAGGUGUAGGAGGUAUCGACCCCUUCUGUGCCGCAGUAAAACACAUUAAAGUACUCCGCCUGGGAAGUACGAUCGCAAGAUUAAAAC
rnacentral:rRNA from 1 species